GCAUUUGAAACUGGCAGACUAGAGUACUGUAGAGGGGGGUAGAAUUUCAGGUGUAGCGGUGAAAUGCGUAGAGAUCUGAAGGAAUACCGGUGGCGAAGGCGGCCCCCUGGACAGAUACUGACACUCAGAUGCGAAAGCGUGGGGAGCAAACAGGAUUAGAUACCCUGGUAGUCCACGCCGUAAACGAUGUCUACUUGGAGGUUGUGGCCUUGAGCCGUGGCUUUCGGAGCUAACGCGUUAAGUAGACCGCCUGGGGAGUACGGUCGCAAGAUUAAAACUCAAAUGAAUUGACGGGGGCCCGCACAAGCGGUGGAGCAUGUGGUUUAAUUCGAUGCAACGCGAAGAACCUUACCUACUCUUGACAUCCAGAGAACUUUCCAGAGAUGGAUUGGUGCCUUCGGGAACUCUGAGACAGGUGCUGCAUGGCUGUCGUCAGCUCGUGUUGUGAAAUGUUGGGUUAAGUCCCGCAACGAGCGCAACCCUUAUCCUUGUUUGCCAGCGAGUAAUGUCGGGAACUCCAGGGAG
rnacentral:rRNA from 1 species